rnacentral:rRNA from 1 species
GAGGAAGAUAUUGCUCAUCUCUUCUUCGCCUGCCCUUUCAGUCAAAGGUGCUGGGCUGCGCUGGGAAUACAUUGGCCAAAUGACCCUGACUGGAUUAAAAUGGUUCAUGAAGGCAAGAGCAGGUGGACAAGGCCGAUGUUCUUAGAAGUCUUCACGGUUGCUGCUUGGGGGAUCUGGAAGGAGAGGAAUGACAAACACUUCAGGGGGAUUCAGCCUUCCUUUGAUUCUUGGAGGGGCAGGUUCAGGAAGGAUUUUGCUAUGCUGGCUCAUAGAGCUAGGCGGGAGCUGGCUCCUUGCAUCACUUCCAUUGUCAACUUGCUUUGA